GUUCAGGCACGUUCAGGCUUUGUCACGGCGUAAUGAGGUGAUCACCUCAAGGCUAAUUUGUUGUUUUUAUAGUUUUAGAGCGGCGCUGGUGGCGCGUGCAUUGAGGCCAAUUGGCGCCGGAGAUCGCGUAAAGUGAUCGCAGUAUUUAGCUGGUGGCUGAAUGUGUAUGUAUGUUGAGCCCCGGUACCUGUGAGUAAUCAUACAACUUCGCAUCUGGUGUUUGUUCAAUCUAAUGGUGAGAGUGGGAAGUUGAGCUUGUCUUCUUAAAGACAAACCCCUAGCCGAAGACGCUACAUGUGACGCCGCUGCUUUAUUGCUUCAAUAAUGGCUUUGUUUCAAUAAUUGUUUUGCUUUUACUUAUUGUUUUGGAUGUAUGUCUGAUUUGCUUUGUAACCACAUAUAUUAAGAGUGAGUAGUCCGAGAAUGGUAAAAUUAGUGUUUCCUAGCCUCAAACCUGUUUCAGAUUUGUUGUUCCACCUAACCACUUUACUACUGAGAGGGUGUAUGUUAAGCCUUACUGUCUCCAUGCUAUAGUGGCCAUAAUUGUCAUUUGUACUGUUUACCAUAAUUCUAGUUCUGCUUGGGUGUUGUCAACUGCCACUAUUGCUUGUGGUGGUGUCAGUGGACUGGGUGUUAUAGCAGUCAUACCACAGUGUCUGUAAUAUUUGUCUUUCUGUGUCUUGUUGUUUAGUGUCUGUGUAAUUUUGGGUUAACUGGUGUCUUCUUUCUCUCCAGGAGCCAGUGAGUCUUGGUGGGACAGGGGAGGCUAGCUGCAUUUAUACGGUGGUGUGCUUCACAGCGUGCUCAGUGUGCCAACACAACAACUUCCUUAUGGUGUAGGUAGUAUGUGAUUUUUUGGUGUGAUUUGCAGUGGGUUUGGAUGAUCUCCUGAGUUGUAGCUGGCCUGCCUUGUCCCUGCCAAGCCUGGGCCUGGAGAAGUUCUUAGUUAUUAAAAUACUUGCUGUGCUUCAGGGGAAAGUGAUUUUAUAUUUUCAUGUCAAGUUUUAAAUGAUGCUUAAGUGUCAUAAUAAAAUACAAAUUUUUAUAUUAGUACUCAUGUCUCCCUCAUGUUCCUUGCCCCGAUUGGUGAAACUUCUGUGUGCCUUUUAUUUGGGAGUGUUUCCCUGGUUCUCCCCCAGGGUGGCGCAGUUGGAUUUACUGAAUUUUUGAUGACUGUUUUCCCUUCACAUUGAAAAUGCCACACAACAAUAUAUUGGUUAUGGUAGGUGUGAAUAUGGAAAAGAUGUACUGUAUGGGCAACCCUUUGUUUUGUUUUUCAGUUGUUUUCCAGAAAAUAGAAAAGCAAAUACAUGGUGUGAUCACUUAUUAAUGAUUAGAAGCUUCUCUAUUUUGAGCUCAACCAAAGAGAUCACAGUCCUUUUCUACUGGCUCACAAGUCCAAGGUUCAUGUAUUCACAAAUUAAAAUUCACCUAGAUAAAGCUGAAAUGAAACUAAUAUACCUGCUACUAGGUGCCUGCAAAAUUAAGGUGCCUUAGUAAGGUGUUGUGGACCAUUAGCCACCAGAACUUUCUAAAACUACUGGAGGUAUGAAUACUCUGAAUAAUACCAAGUAAUAAAUAAAUAUAGGUACUGCAUGUUGUUAAGAAAUACAGUGUUUGUUAUAAAUGUUGCCAUUUUAAUGCUAAAUGCAUGACUAAUAAACAUCCUGUUGAAUUCUGUCGUUAUAUGGAGUUGAUAUAACCACAAGCGUAACUUCCUUAGUCUAAGGAGAAAGUUACAUGAUGGCGGCAGCAAUGCAGCUUGUCGUCUUUCUCUUCAUGCUGGCUCCAAUCACAGGUAAACUAAUCUUCUAAAGUCUUUCUAACUGAAGAAGGUAAAGUAUUUGAUACAGUAUACUAUAACCUACACUGAGCUUUACAUAGCAGACUGUGUUAAAAAAAACAAACAAAAAAAAAAAACAAUAAUAUGAUCCAUUAUGUGAUGCACUGUUCAAAGUUAGUGUUUUAAAAUGUUGAAAGUCAUCUGGAUGACUGAGAUUUUGAUUAUAGUCAAUGUCAACUAAUUACUACUUGUUGUUGUUUUUAUGCUGUAAUCCAAUUUUCCACACCAAAUUACACCAUUACCACACAAAGUAAUACCAUUGCACACACCAUACAGGGUAUGAACUUGUUCCUUUCAGACAGAGUGGUAUUGUUAGAAGUGUUGGAAAAGACAGAUCUUUUGAGAUCCCGUUGAGAAUCAAUUGAUGGGUCAUGACAGUCUAUAAAUGAUUUUCAGUGUCUAAAUCUGAUCUGAGAGUCAAUUUUCAUUUCAAGUUAUCAUUAAGGGUUGUAGUGACUUUCUAUUUGAAAGAGGCAUUUAAAGAGGCUAGAUAUAAAUUUAUACAUUCAAGAUUGUGUAAGAUUUUGUAGUAGUGUAAAAUAUGAUUUAAUA
ensembl:lncRNA